AGCCAACUGCAUGCUAUUCUGCCACGGCCACGGCUGACCGGCGGCUCCCUUUCGCUUUCCGCCGCCGCGUCCGCGUCCACGCGGCCCCGCACCGCUCCCACUUACACGUGGGGCCCCGCGCCGCUUCAUGGCCUUCUUCUGAUUCCCUUCCGCCUUCCUCCCCGCGGUCGCCCUUCUCCUCUUCUCUUCGUCCACCUAAACUCGCGUCGCCUCCGCCUCCGCCUCUCGCUCUCCUCCCGCCGCGCGCGCGACAGGAGGGGAGGGGAGGGGGAGGAAGCGGGCGGGGGGCGGCGGCAUGGACGCGCGGGCCAGGGAGGCCGCGGAAGGGACCAGCGGCCCCGGGCUGCCGCUCGCCGUGCGGGAGCUCCUCGCCGGAGGGGUCGCCGGAGGAGUCGCCAAGACCGCCGUCGCGCCGCUCGAGCGCGUCAAGAUCCUGUUCCAGACAAGAAGAGCAGAGUUUCGUGGUUCUGGAUUGAUUGGAUCCUUCCGAACAAUCUAUCGGACAGAAGGUCUUUUAGGGUUUUACAGGGGAAAUGGAGCUAGUGUUGCUCGAAUUGUUCCUUAUGCAGCUUUGCAUUAUAUGGCCUAUGAAGAAUACCGCCGGUGGAUCAUUCUUGGCUUUCCUAAUGUUGAGCAAGGGCCUGUUCUUGAUCUCGUGGCCGGAUCAAUAGCUGGAGGAACAGCUGUCAUAUGCACAUACCCUCUUGAUCUAGUCCGCACAAAAUUGGCUUAUCAGGUAAAAGGUGCAGUGAAUGUGGGUUUCAGAGAAUCUAAGCCCUCUGAACAGGUUUAUAAAGGGAUCAUGGAUUGUGUCAAAACAAUAUACAGACAAAAUGGAUUGAAAGGCAUAUACCGUGGCAUGGCUCCUUCACUAUAUGGAAUCUUCCCUUACUCUGGUCUUAAAUUCUACUUCUACGAGAAGAUGAAGAGCCACGUUCCUGAAGAGCACAGAAAAGAUAUCAUAGCAAAGCUUGGUUGUGGAUCAGUUGCAGGUUUGCUAGGUCAGACAAUAACAUACCCCCUAGAUGUUGUUAGGCGGCAAAUGCAGGUUCAAGCCCUUUCAUCAUCCAGCCUCGUAGGUAGAGGAACAUUUGAAAGCCUGGUUAUGAUAGCGAAACAGCAAGGUUGGCGACAACUAUUCUCAGGAUUAUCUAUCAACUAUUUAAAGAUUCGAUGUGACGGGGAAUCUUGAAAAAAUUUGGGUUUUGGGUGGAAGUAAACAAGGCCUAAGCCCACACUGCCGCACCCCCCUCAUUGUUUGUCUAGCUCCGCCACUGGUGGCAGGUGGUGCCAUCAGUAGCCAUAGGAUUUACUGUUUAUGACUCAAUGAAGGUCUGGCUAAAAGUUCCAUCAAGGGAGGAUACUGCUGUUGCUGUCUUGACAGAUGAACGAAGUAAUACAGCUCCUAUCCCCUCCAGUUAGAAUGAGGCUUAACUCUCUUGGUGAUGUGAUGCGAUGCUCCUUUCUGCCUUACCAUUCAUAAGGCGUGUAGCAUAGCAUUCUUUGUUGGAGCUGCAUCACCAUAGCUACUAGUCUUCUCCAAUGCAUUGGAGGAAAUAAAUUCGACCAUUAUCAAUAAGUGCCAUAAGCAAGUCGUUGAUGCCAAGAAAAGCAUCGGCAUUUAACAGGAGGAAUAGAAUUCCAGGUGGAUUAGCGAGUUCUUUGUGGAAUUCCACCCUGUACAGCAGACUCUGUAUAUAGCUGAAUAGUUUGUGUCAAACAGAGAGGCUCUUGGAGAAAGUCAGAAUUCAGAGCGAACAUUGCUUGUGUUCAUGCUUUGGAUCUCCUAUAGGUAGCUUCUUACAGUAGGUUGGAGCCUGCAGGUUUCGACAUGUAUGCGUCUCCCUUUUGCAAUGAGUACAAAGAAUCUAUGCCUUGCAUUCCCCACACUAUUGGAUUCUUGCGGGUUGCACAACACGGCAUCUAGGAUUUUGGUCAGAUUCUCGCAAAUUUCAGAUUCCUUACCUCUAUGAUCUACAGGAAGUAGCCUCUAGCCUGUACUGGUUCUCUGGAUUCUUUCCAAAUCGAAUUCACAUUCACAUUUUACAGUUAA